rnacentral:rRNA from 1 species
CUACGGGUCGCAGCAGUGGGGAAUAUUGUACAAUGGAGGCAACUCUGAUGCAGCCAUGCCGCGUGUGUGAAGAAGGCCCUCGGGUUGUAAAGCACUUUCAAUUGGGAGGAAGGGUAUGUAGCUAAUACCUGCAUAAUUUGACGUUACCUUUAGAAGAAGCACCGGCUAACUCUGUGCCAGCAGCCGCGGUAAUACAGAGGGUGCAAGCGUUAUUCGGAAUUACUGGGCGUAAAGCGCGCGUAGGCGGAUUGUUAAGUCAGAUGUGAAAGCCCUGGGCUCAACCUGGGAACGGCAUUUGAUACUGGCAGUCUAGAGUUUAAGAGAGGGAAGGGGAAUUUCUAGUGUAGCAGUGAAAUGCGUAGAUAUUAGAAGGAACAUCAGUGGCGAAGGCGCCUUCCUGGCUUAAAACUGACGCUGAGGUGCGAAAGCGUGGGUAGCGAACGGGAUUAGAUACCCGCGUAGUC